GAUGAACGCUGGCGGCGUGCCUAAUACAUGCAAGUCGAGCGAACAGACGAGGCGCUUGCUCCUCUGACGUUAGCGGCGCACGGGUGAGUAACACGUGGAUACCCUCCCUAUCAGACUGGGAUAACUUCGGGACACCGGCGCUAAUACCGGAUAAUAUCUUGAACCGCAUGGUUGAAUAGUGAAAGACGGCUUUGCUGUCACUUAUAGAUGGAUCCGCGCCGCAUUAGCUAGUUGGUAAGGUAACGGCUUAGCAAGGCAACGAUGCGUAGCCGACGUGAGAGAGUGAUAGGCGACAUUGGAACUGGACCGGGGUCCAGGGGCCUAAGGGAGGCAGCAGAAGCGUAUGGGCCGCAAUGGUCGAGAACAUGGCGCAGUAACGGGGCGCCAGAGGUAGAGGUCCUCGGAGCGGGAUACUGGGUUUUGAGGGAAGAACAGAUGUGUAAGUUGAUAUGGACUGCGUGACGGUAACGAAUCAGGAAGCAACGGCUAACUACGUG
rnacentral:rRNA from 1 species